GAUGAACGCUGGCGGCGUGCCUAAUACAUGCAAGUCGAGCGAAUGGAUUAAGAGCUUGCUCUUAUGAAGUUAGCGGCGGACGGGUGAGUAACACGUGGGUAACCUGCCCAUAAGACUGGUAAAACUCCGGGAAACCGGGGCUAAUACCGGAUAACAUUUUGAACCGCAUGGUUCGAAAUUGAAAGGCGGCUUCGGCUGUAAAUUAUGGAUGGACCCGCGUCGCAUUAGCUAGUUGGUGAGGUAACGGCUCACCAAGGCAACGAUGCGUAGCCGACCUGAGAGGGUGAUCGGCCACACUGGGACUGAGACACGGCCCAGACUCCCACGGGAGGCAGCAGUAGGGAAUCUUCCGCAAUGGACGAAAGUCUGACGGAGCAACGCCGCGUGAGUGAUGAAGGCUUUCGGGUCGUAAAACUCUGUUGUUAGGGAAGAACAAGUGCUAGUUGAAUAAGCUGGCACCUUGACGGUACCUAACCAGAAAGCCACGGCUAACUACGUGCCAGCCGCCGCCGUAA
rnacentral:rRNA from 1 species